CUUAAGAGUGUCUCAUAAAAAUUUUGUAUUAAAGCGAUAAAUUUUCAAUUUGUUAAAAAUCAUAGAGUGAGGGCUGUUUGAACUAUUUGUUCUAGUUUUCUUUCUUUGAUUAGUGCAUAGGAGGAGUUUAUACUUGGUUGGUCAGUGUCAAUCAUGUCUAAUAGUGAUAUAUGAUUUCAAAUCUAGCUACGUAAGUGUGCAUACUGUGAUAUUGUGUUUUAAUUGAUAUUGGUCCUGUACUUAUUGGUUUAUUGAGUUG
rnacentral:lncRNA from 1 species